UACGGGGGGGGCAAGCGUUGUUCGGAAUUACUGGGCGUAAAGGGCGUGUAGGCGGCCAACUAAGUCCGACGUGAAAUCCCCAGGCUUAACCUGGGAACUGCGUCGGAUACUGGAUGGCUUGAAUCCGGGAGAGGGAUGCAGAAUUCCAGGUGUAGCGGUGAAAUGCGUAGAUAUUGGGAGGAACACCAGUGGCGAAGGCGGCUCACUGGACCGGAACUGACGCUGAGGCGCGAAAGCGUGGGGAGCAAACAGG
rnacentral:rRNA from 1 species